CCCAAGAGAGCCUGAAGUCAUGAACAUAAUAAUAUCAAAAUAAAUAAAUUAAAGUUCCACAAUGUUAAUUUUUGAUAACAAGGAAAAUAUCAUGGAUCAUAUGAUUUCACCCUUACCAUGACUUUGAUGUGGCACAUUCACAAAACUUUCAGCAAACUCAGCAUUUGCUGGGGACAUUAGUGUCUCAUCUUCUUUGAUCGGUUUAGAUCGAUUCGCAUUCUAAGACUUGAAAUUCACAUAAUAUUUGUUUGCGGCCACCUUCUUCACCAUCUUGGUGCCUCUCCGGUCAUUGGAAAAAUGAAAGCUGAGGAAUUUAAAGAGAAG
rnacentral:lncRNA from 1 species